rnacentral:rRNA from 1 species
AUUGAACGCCGGCGGCAUGCCUUACACAUGCAAGUCGGACGGCAGCACGGGUGCUUGCACCUGGUGGCGAGUGGCGAACGGAUGAGUAAUACAUCGGAACGUACCUUAUCGUGGGGGAUAACGCAGCGAAAGCUGUGCUAAUACCGCAUACGCCCUGAGGGGGAAAGCGGGGGAUCGCAAGACCUCGCGCGAUUAGAGCGGCCGAUGCCUGAUUAGCUUGUUGGUGGGGUAAAAGCCCACCAAGGCGACGAUCAGUAGCUGGUCUGAGAGGACGAUCAGCCACACUGGGACUGAGACACAGCCCAGACUCCUACGGGAGGCAGCAGUGGGGAAUUUUGGACAAUGGGGGCAACCCUGAUCCAGCAAUGCCGCGUGAGUGAAGAAGGCCUUCGGGUUGUAAAGCUCUUUUGUCAGGGAAGAAACACCGGCUCUAACACAGUCCGGGAAUGACGGUACCUGAAGAAUAAGCACCGGCUAACUACGUGCCAGCCGCCGCAGUAA